UCCCAGAGGAGACGAGGUCACUG
rnacentral:miRNA from 1 species